rnacentral:lncRNA from 1 species
UUUCUCUUUCUGACUUUGGGGAGAAAGAAGGCUGGAAUGCUGUGUCCUCUCUCACCGAGGUUUCUUGCAGGCAUGUACAGGCACAAAGUAGGAGAAAACAGGAGUGUGUGGGAUUUGGUAUUUUUCUCUGCUGUGGGUAUAUUUACAUAUCCUUCCCAUCUACAUACAGUUGUGUUGGACUAGCAACCACUAAGUAUAUGGGCUUUCUAUAUAGGGUUCCCUUGGGCAAAGUCAAGUGUGUAUGCAGUAUGCCAGUCUGAGUGUGGGCAGAGACAGUCUGCCUGCUUUAUCAAGAUGAGAGAGUUAGCUCCCUUAACUUUUCCUCUUAGGAGGAAGGGCUUAGCAUUUAGAAGAACUCAUUUGCUGCUUUAUUCAAAGUGUAUUAGAAAGGCAUAUACUACAGUGGUACUGCGUUCUACAGUGGCAUAGAGAAGGGUGUCGGGCCUGAAUAUCACAGGGGAGGGAGGUCUUCACCUUACAGAAUUAUAACUUUCCAGAGCUAAAGAGAGGUAUGUAAUCCAGCCUCUUUUUAGAGCAUGAUGCUGAAGCUUAAAGAAGGACAGUGUCUCAUCCAGUCAUGCAAUAAGACUGUUGCGCUAUCUAGGACUAGCUCCAGAGGCAGAAUAUUAAUCUACAUGAAUAAGCAUGAAGCCCUCAGCUUUUCGAGUGCCUGUUCCUAAUAACCCAAGGCUACUUUAAGAAGGGAAAAAACAGAUUCUGAAGGGGGAGAGACAGAAAUUGAGGAGGAAAAGUAGAUUUAAAGCUAUUAGUAUGAAACCAUGUUAUGUAUCAUUCAAGAAUAAUCUCUUAGUAACCAAGUGUGGUAACAUACACCUUUAACCUCGGGUCAGUAGGUGGAGACAAGCAGAUACUAAGGUCAGCCAGCGCUACAUAGUGAGACACUGUCUUAAAUUAGACUCCUUCACAGCCAGUUAGAUAGCUUGUAAAAGUGCCUAGUCUAGCAAAUUGAGAUCUAUCCCUAGAACCCACAUAAUGGAAGGAGAGAACCAAUACCUGCAAGUUGUCCUUUGACCUCCACAAACACUGGCACAGGCAUCCCUCCCAUACACAUAUACAUAAAUGUAAUUUUGAAAAAAGAAUGGCAUGCAAAUUUUACAAAUAAUUUUUAACAAUAUAACUAAAUUGUUGGGAAGAAAGUGGUAGUCAUAGCCAAAGAUCUUAAUGCCCGUAGAGUUACCCCAAAUUUUCAAAGAACCCUUGGCCCCAAACUAAGGGACUGAUACUAGGGAAAACCUCCUCAGAGGCAAAGUGAAAAAUUCAUACCAAAUCUCAGCUUAGGUUCUUUGUCAUUAUAAUAAAUUUAUGUCGGAAGAAUCCAAAUGGAGAGAGAGCACCUUGAGGCAAGGCUAGAGGGAGUUUCACUGAAUGGGAUAUGGAAUCAUGACUCAGGAGAGUUGGUGGGCACCUUCUGCCUUUCUCUUAUUUGUAGAGCUAGGGGAAGCUAUUUGGUGUUCUUGGACCGUGCAUAAGGAAAAGUGUUGCACAGUGGUCAGAACCAAAAAUAAGCUUAUCAGGGCUGGCCUAUGGGACAGAUACUAUAAGUCAUCUCAUCCUGGGGCUGGGUCUGCUGUACCUCCUUAUGCUUGCUUUUACUGGACAUAAAAAAUUGGGAACCUGUUAGUAGCAAAAAGGAAAAUGCUGACGAAAGCAGCAAAAUGCUGAGCAACAUGAAGAUAGUUAAGGUCUGUGUUAGGGAUCUACCAACUGAUACUGUCCGUGGAUAACAAGGAGACAGAUCCCAUUGUGUAUCAUUUGUGGUCAGUCCACUGCAUUAUAGUUGAAAGAAUAUAGGAAUAUGGGGUUAAUCUCCAUGCAAAGACUUUGUUCCUGCAAAGGAAAUGCACAAUAAACCUAGUUACCCAAAUUGCAACUAAUCUACUCUUGUAAACCUUUCUGUUUCAUAACUAAGGCCAUUUUCUGACUUUAAACUCCUUAAAGAAGCUGUGAUGAACAAGAGAACCUCCAAUUGAAGAUGGUGGUCUGGUCUAAAGUUAUGUUACCCCCUCCAAGUUAGAAUCUUGCAUUAACCAUAACAUGCAUUGGCCUCUAUAGUAUUUCUGUGUUUCACAGCUUGUAUUCUAUUAAAUUUUCUGACAUAUACCUUAAGUAUCAGGGCCAUGGUUUUUUACUUAUCAUCCUGGGAACUAGUCUUUGGAGGUAGGAAUCUGGAACAGUCAGCUCUUCUGGAAGAAUUCUUAAGAUUCAUUUGCCACUUUGGGGGCAUGUAGGUUUAAGAGAAUUGGAGAAAAAGCAACCAUCAUACUGUUACUGUUACUGUAGCUGUCAACAUUGUAAUCUCCGAUGCAUGACCACAUACCCUCUUUGCACUGGUUGCUUGUCCUGUGUCUAAUGUAGCUUCUUAUUUUUCUUUGCAGAUAGCAGCAGCAGGGAUGGCCUUUGAAGAACUCCAGACACCCAUCAGUUACCUUGCAUCCAGAGCCUCUCAAACAAUCUCAUUCACAAUACUUGAAGCCAGGUUCAGUGGAAAAGUCCACCUAUCCAAACACUGCAUGAGACACCAGAAGUGGAGGCCUGCAGCUCUGCAGUCAUUCCCAGAGCCGGCAUCUCCACCUUCCCUACCUGAGAGUAGAUGUGGAAGCCAGACCCAGAGAGGAAGAACAAAUUGAAUCCUGCUCUGAAGUUGCUUUAUGUUCUGGAUUUGGAGAGUUCCUGGGAGCAUUGGGCAAGAAAAAAUAGGUACUUUGCCUGAGUAUAUGUCUGCGCAUCACUUGAGUGCUUGGUUGUUGGAGACCAGAAGAGGGCAUGAAGCCAGAAGAGAGCAUGGAUCCCCUGGAACUGGAAUUAUAGAUGGUUGUAAUUUGCCAAGUGGGUGUUGGGAAUCCAACCCAAGUCCUCUGGAAAAUAACCAGUUCUCUGAACUCCUAAGCAAUCUCCAGGCCCCUAUUUAUUUUAUAAUUAUGUGUAUGCAUCUGUGUCUGCUUGUUGGUAUGUGCAGAUGAGUGCAGUUGCCUCAGAGGUCAGAAAAGGGCACUGGAUCCCCUGGAGCUGGUGUUACAAGUGGUUGUCAGCCCCCUGGCAUGGGUGCUAGGAAGCAGACUGAGAUCUUCAGCAAGAACAAGUGUUCUUAGCCACCGGGCCGAGUCCUCAGCCUCUCCUACACAUUUUUAAUAGAGUGACUGGACCAACAGGAUGGAAGUAUCCACUCCCCGUGGGUAUUGCUUUACUGAUGGGUGCUAAUGAGAAUUAUAUCAUCUUCCUCUUUGUAGUGAGAAAAUUCCUUACUCUCCUUAUGUCUGUGUAUGUCUUUGAGACAGGGUCCCUCUGAGUCCAUCUGUCCUGGAGUUUCCCGGCUGGCCACAAGCUUGCAGAGCUCCUCCUGCCUCUGCUUCCCAAGUGCUGAAAGUAAAGGCGUGCACCACCAUAUCUGCCCUUAACAGAAACACAAGAGCAAGCUACUAUGGAAACAUUCCUUGUCAUAGUAGGUAGCUAGCUUGCUUCUUUCCUGUCUUUGUUUUGGUUUCAUUCAUUUAUUCAAGACAAGGUUUCAGGCUGGAGAGAUGGCUCAAUGGGUAAGAGUACUGACUGUUUUUCCGAAGGUCCUGAGUUCAAAUCCCAGCAACCACAUGGAGAUCUGACGCCCUCUUCUGGUGUGUCAGAAGACAGCUACAGUGUACAUAUGUAUAAUAAAUCUUUGGGCCAGAGCAAGCAGGGACUUAGCGAGUGGGGCUUAUUACCAGAGUGAGCGGAGUUGACCAGAGAAAGCAGAGGUCCUAAAAAUUCAAUCCCCAACAACCAAAAGAAGGCUCACAACCAUCUGUACAGCUGCAGUGUACUCACAUCCAUAAAAUAAAUAAAUCUUAAAAAAAAAAAGAAAAGAGAAAAAGGAAAUCCUUAAAG